rnacentral:rRNA from 1 species
AUGACAAAGUUGAGAAGUUUCCUGGGGCUAGCAGGUUACUAUAGAAGAUUUAUAAAAGGUUAUGGAAUUAUAUGCAGACCUUUACAUGAUCUAUUAAACAAGGGCCAGUUUGAUUGGAAAAAGGAACAUGACAAAGCAUUUGUUCAACUACAGCAAUCCCUAAUCACAGCUCCAGUGUUAGCUCUACGUGAUUUCUCCAAACCCUUUGUGCUGAAAAAGGAUGCAUCUGGAAAAGGUAUAGGAGCAGUACUGAUGCAGCAAGGCAGACCUCUGGCUUAUUAUAGCUCCUCUCUCUGCCCUAGAAACACUACUCUGUCCACUUAUGGAAAGGAAGCUCUAGCCAUCCUAGAAGCACGAAAAAUGGAUACACUACCUGAUAGGUAA